AGCGUCGUUUGCGACGCCCAACACACAAAACAAGCGGUGAGUGCUUUGGGGUGGGGUGACUGCGUACCUUUUGUAUAAUGGGUCAGCGACUUAUAUUCUGUAGCAAGGUUAACCGUAUAGGGGAGCCGCAGGGAAACCGAGUCUUAAUUGGGCGUUAAGUUGCAGGGUAUAGACCCGAAACCCGGUGAUCUAGCCAUGGGCAGGUUGAAGGUUGGGUAACACUAACUGGAGGACCGAACCGACUAAUGUUGAAAAAUUAGCGGAUGACCUGUGGCUGGGGGUGAAAGGCCAAUCAAACCGGGAGAUAGCUGGUUCUCCCCGAAAGCUAUUUAGGUAGCGCCUCGUGAAUUCAUCUCCGGGGGUAGAGCACUGUUUCGGCUAGGGGGCCAUCCCGGCUUACCAACCCGAUGCAAACUGCGAAUACCGGAGAAUGUUAUCACGGGAGACACACGGCGGGUGCUAACGUCCGUCGUGAAGAGGGAAACAACCCAGACCGCCAGCUAAGGUCCCAAAGUCAUGGUUAAGUGGGAAACGAUGUGGGAAGGCCCAGACAGCCAGGAUGUUGGCUUAGAAGCAGCCAUCAUUUAAAGAAAGCGUAAUAGCUCACUGGUCGAGUCGGCCUGCGCGGAAGAUGUAACGGGGCUAAACCAUG
rnacentral:rRNA from 1 species